AUAAUGGGUCAGCGACUUAUAUUCUGUAGCAAGGUUAACCGAAUAGGGGAGCCGAAGGGAAACCGAGUCUUAACUGGGCGUUAAGUUGCAGGGUAUAGACCCGAAACCCGGUGAUCUAGCCAUGGGCAGGUUGAAGGUUGGGUAACACUAACUGGAGGACCGAACCGACUAAUGUUGAAAAAUUAGCGGAUGACUUGUGGCUGGGGGUGAAAGGCCAAUCAAACCGGGAGAUAGCUGGUUCUCCCCGAAAGCUAUUUAGGUAGCGCCUCGUGAAUUCAUCUCCGGGGGUAGAGCACUGUUUCGGCAAGGGGGUCAUCCCGACUUACCAACCCGAUGCAAACUGCGAAUACCGGAGAAUGUUAUCACGGGAGACACACGGCGGGUGCUAACGUCCGUCGUGAAGAGGGAAACAACCCAGACCGCCAGCUAAGGUCCCAAAGUCAUGGUUAAGUGGGAAACGAUGUGGGAAGGCCCAGACAGCCAGGAUGUUGGCUUAGAAGCAGCCAUCAUUUAAAGAAAGCGUAAUAGCUCACUGGUCGAGUCGGCCUGCGCGGAAGAUGUAACGGGGCUAAACCAUGCACCGAAGCUGCGGCAGCGACGCUUAUGCGUUGUUGGGUAGGGGAGCGUUCUGUAAGCCUGCGAAGGUGUGCUGUGAGGCAUGCUGGAGGUAUCAGAAGUGCGAAUGCUGACAUAAGUAACGAUAAAGCGGGUGAAAAGCCCGCUCGCCGGAAGACCAAGGGUUCCUGUCCAACGUUAAUCGGGGCAGGGUGAGUCGACCCCUAAGGCGAGGCCGAAAGGCGUAGUCGAUGGGAAACAGGUUAAUAUUCCUGUACUUGGUGUUACUGCGAAGGGGGGACGGAGAAGGCUAUGUUGGCCGGGCGACGGUUGUCCCGGUUUAAGCGUGUAGGCUGGUUUUCCAGGCAAAUCCGGAAAAUCAAGGCUGAGGCGUGAUGACGAGGCACUACGGUGCUGAAGCAACAAAUGCCCUGCUUCCAGGAAAAGCCUCUAAGCAUCAGGUAACAUCAAAUCGUACCCCAAACCGACACAGGUGGUCAGGUAGAGAAUACCAAGGCGCUUGAGAGAACUCGGGUGAAGGAACUAGGCAAAAUGGUGCCGUAACUUCGGGAGAAGGCACGCUGAUAUGUAGGUGAAGUCCCUCGCGGAUGGAGCUGAAAUCAGUCGAAGAUACCAGCUGGCUGCAACUGUUUAUUAAAAACACAGCACUGUGCAAACACGAAAGUGGACGUAUACGGUGUGACGCCUGCCCGGUGCCGGAAGGUUAAUUGAUGGGGUUAGCGCAAGCGAAGCUCUUGAUCGAAGCCCCGGUAAACGGCGGCCGUAACUAUAACGGUCCUAAGGUAGCGAAAUUCCUUGUCGGGUAAGUUCCGACCUGCACGAAUGGCGUAAUGAUGGCCAGGCUGUCUCCACCCGAGACUCAGUGAAAUUGAACUCGCUGUGAAGAUGCAGUGUACCCGCGGCAAGACGGAAAGACCCCGUGAACCUUUACUAUAGCUUGACACUGAACAUUGAGCCUUGAUGUGUAGGAUAGGUGGGAGGCUUUGAAGUGUGGACGCCAGUCUGCAUGGAGCCGACCUUGAAAUACCACCCUUUAAUGUUUGAUGUUCUAACGUUGACCCGUAAUCCGGGUUGCGGACAGU
rnacentral:rRNA from 1 species